rnacentral:rRNA from 1 species
UACGUAGGGUGCGAGCGUUGUCCGGAAUUACUGGGCGUAAAGAGCUCGUAGGUGGUUUGUCGCGUUGUUCGUGAAAACUCACAGCUUAACUGUGGGCGUGCGGGCGAUACGGGCAGACUAGAGUACUGCAGGGGAGACUGGAAUUCCUGGUGUAGCGGUGGAAUGCGCAGAUAUCAGGAGGAACACCGGUGGCGAAGGCGGGUCUCUGGGCAGUAACUGACGCUGAGGAGCGAAAGCGUGGGGAGCGAACA